rnacentral:misc_RNA from 1 species
AAAGUCGUAACAAGGUCUCCGUUGGUGAACCAGCGGAGGGAUCAUUAGCGAGUACUAUACUCAUAACCCCCUGUGAACUAUCUCUGUUGCUUUGGUAGGCGCACUCCGGCUGUCACGGCCGACAGUGCCCUGCCGAAAGGAUUCCCUGCGGGGUCUCUGCCACUACAACUCUGUUAAGACGGGAUUUUUAGUUGACCCAAAAAUAUAUUACAACUUUCAACAACGGAUCUCUUGGCUCUG